CUAACACUCUGCGAUGUGAAGCAUCAGGAAAUUGGAAUUCCUCAAAGCCGUUUUGUGAAGUGGUCCAGUGCCCUGCUCUCCAGGAGCUAGAGAAUGGUGUUGCCAGCUGUGGAGAUGAUGCAGACAUGAGGUUCAGCUACGGAAACACCUGUAGCUUCAGCUGUGCACCUGGCUACCAACUGGUGGGGCCGAGCAGGGUGACAUGCACAUCAGCAGCUGAGUGGAGUGAGAAGAUGCCUCGCUGUGAAGCAAUCACUUGCAAGGUUCCAGAGGGAGAUGCUCCCCUGAUCACCCAGUGCAGCCAGCCUUUGACUGAACUGCGGCCA